rnacentral:lncRNA from 1 species
UCAUCUCCAACGGAGAACCCUAGCCGCCCUGAACCAUAGCCUUCCUGUCGCCAUCCUUCGUCCCCUGGUGUCGCCAUCCUCAGCCCCAGUAACCCUCCAAUCUCCAUCGUCGCCUUCGCCUGGUUCCUGCCCAGUAGCCCUCCAUCUCCAUCCUCUGCUCAUCUUCUCAACACCAGCACCGCAGCACGCAGUCAACACCGGUAGCCCUCCAUCUCCAUCGCGCGGUCCUCAACAGUCAACACUCAGCACCGGUAGCCCUCCAUCGACCCCAGGUGAGUGACUCGUCCUCUGCUUAUCUUCUUUGUUCUUCGCCUCUGCUCAUGUUCUUCCAUCGACCCCGGUAGAAAUCUUGCAUGAAAUUGAUACUCUGUG